GCGUGUGUGAAGAAGGCCCUCGGGUUGUAAAGCACUUUCAGCGAGGAAGAACGCCUAGCGGUUAAUACCCGCUAGGAAAGACAUCACUCGCAGAAGAAGCACCGGCUAACUCCGUGCCAGCAGCCGCGGUAAUACGGAGGGUGCAAGCGUUAAUCGGAAUUACUGGGCGUAAAGCGCGCGUAGGUGGCUUGAUAAGCCGGUUGUGAAAGCCCCGGGCUCAACCUGGGAACGGCAUCCGGAACUGUCAAGCUAGAGUGCAGGAGAGGAAGGUAGAAUUCCCGGUGUAGCGGUGAAAUGCGUAGAGAUCGGGAGGAAUACCAGUGGCGAAGGCGGCCUUCUGGACUGACACUGACACUGAGGUGCGAAAGCGUGGGUAGCAAACAGGAUUAGAUACCCUGGUAGUCCACGCCGUAAACGAUGUCGACCAGCCGUUGGGUGCCUAGCGCACUUUGUGGCGAAGUUAACGCGAUAAGUCGACCGCCUGGGGAGUACGGCCGCAAGGUUAAAACUCAAAUGAAUUGACGGGGGCCCGCAC
rnacentral:rRNA from 1 species